ensembl:lncRNA DANCR differentiation antagonizing non-protein coding RNA
CUCUUUGUCAGCUGGAGUUGCGCGGGCUGACGCGCCACUAUGUAGCGGGUUUCGGGCGGGCCACGCGUGCGGGACAGGAACCCAACCCCAGCCGACCUUGAGCUCCAGGAGUUCGUCUCUUACGUCUGCGGAAGUGCAGCUGCCUCAGUUCUUAGCGCAGGUUGACAACUACAGGCACAAGCCAUUGAAGCUGGAAUGUCCUGUUGCUGGUAUUUCAAUUGACUUAAGCCAACUAUCCCUUCAGUUACAAUAGGAAAGUGCCUCUAAUAAGGCCAAAUAUGCGUACUAACUUGUAGCAACCACGUGUCCGUGCAGUGCCACAGGAGCUAGAGCAGUGACAAUGCUGGUGGCAACAGGGCAGUGUAGCAGGUAAAGAAAUGGAUUAGUGAUAACUCAAGUUUCAUCACCUCUCUACAAGUUUCACGCUGUUUAAGUCAUGAACCUACAAAAGCCUGUGAAAAAAUCUUUGAAGAUGCUCAGCUUGUUUCAGUCUGAAAUUUCUCCAAGACCAAUGAACAAAACAGGAUCAUGCCCUGAAUACACACCCAAGCUGCAGGCUCCUGCUUAGCCCUAUUUUGGUUUGGCCUCCAUGAGAUCUUCAGCCACAAUAGCAGGAGAUAAAAAUCUUCCUAGAAGCUUUCAUCAGCUGCAAGUUUUCUUACAGAAUGAAACUUUUCUGCUAUUUUUCUCAUAGUUAAUUGGCUAUUUGAGAAAACCGAAUUUCUGGCUCUCAGCAUUUAAUUGGAUUCUGUGGGUGACUGGAUGACCGCUUUGCACAUCACCAUGGGUAUCAUCCUUACCUUCUUUAAACCUUUUGUGCCAGUCAAAAAUUCUUGCUCUUGAUAUGUCAUCACCGGAAACUACUUUUUUUUUUUGUUUCUCUUUUGUGACAGGGUCUUCCUCUGUCACCCAGGCUGGAUGGAGUAUAGUGGAACAAUCAUAGUUCACUGCGGCCUUGGUACCCUAGGCUCAAGCGAUCCUCCCACCUCAGCCUCCUGAGUAGGUGGGACCACAGGUGUGUACCACCAGACCUGGCUAAUUUUGUUAUUGUUGUUUUUUAUAGAGGUGGGGGGGUCUCCCUAUGUUGCCCAGGCCUGUCUUGAACUCACGGGCUCAAGUGAUCCUCCUGCCUCAGCCUCCCAAAGUUCUGGGAUUACAGGGGUGAGCCACUGGACCCAGCCAGAAACUACUUUUAACAGUUCUAAUUGCCACUUGUCUUGGCUGUAUAUUCAGAAAUAGCCAGAUUGGAAUUAUGGUUUUUUGAUUGCUAUUGAUAGGGAGGUUCAAAUGCAAUAUACCAAAAUAGUCUAUUUCAGGUGUCUCACUGACAUAUUUAACUUUACACAAAAUUUAAUAUGAAUUCUUUGCUCUAACAGUCAACAAUUUUUAGGUCAACAAAAGAAUAACUCUAUUCACAUCUAAGAAAGUUAGUUGGCAACCUUAAAAGCUCUGUUGUAGCCAGCUGAAACAUAACCUAUUCCAGCAAUUUCACAAACUACACAAAGAAAAAUUGGUAAAUAUUUCAACAGAUGAGUACAAAUAAUCUUUGGAGAAGCUGAUAAAGAUUUCAGUGCUAUAUCAUCUUAGCCUGCUAUUUUCCCACCUACAAAAGGGUCGAAAAUAAAUCAGCUUUUUCUUGUCCAA